AAAAGGCGUUUGAGUCGCGUGUCCUGGACCCGAAGCGGGAUGAUCUAGCCCUGAGCAGGUUGAAGCGCGGGUAAGACCGCGUGGAGGACCGAACCCACCUGGGUUGAAAACCGGGGGGAUGACUUGGGGCUAGGGGUGAAAGGCCAAUCAAAUUCCGUGAUAGCUGGUUCUCUCCGAAAUGCAUUUGGGUGCAGCGUCGGGUCAUUACGUCCCGGGGGUAGAGCUACUGGAUGCUUGCGGGCCCGUAUCGGGUACCAACAGCAACCAAACUCCGAAUACCGGUGACGCGUAUCCCGGCAGUGAGUCGGCGGGGGAUAAGCUUCGUCGUCGAAAGGGAAACAGCCCAGACCGUCGUCUAAGGUCCCGAAGCGUGUGCUAAGUGGGAAAGGAUGUGGAGUCGCAUAGACAGCCAGGAGGUUGGCUCAGAAGCAGCCACCCUUGAAAGAGUGCGUAACAGCUCACUGGUCUAGUGGUUCCGCGCCGACAAUGUAGCGGGGCUCAAGCACACCACCGAAGACGCGGCAGUAUUUUGUACUGGGUAGGAGAGCGUCCCAUGAGGGGCGAAGCGGCCGUGUGAACGCGCCGUGGACUUCAUGGGAGUGAGAAUGCAGACAUGAGUAGCGAGAGACGGGUGAAGAUCCCGUCCGCUGGAUGACCAAGGGUUCCAGGGCCACGUUCAUCGUCCCUGGGUGAGUCGGGUCCUAAGGCGAGGCCGACAGGCGUAGUCGAAUGGAUGAACGGGUCGAUAUUCCCGUACCGGCUUUCAGCCGCCAAAACCGAGGCUUGGAGUACUAACCUCCGGGUCCGGGCUUACUGCUCCUUCGGGGGCGGGAUGCCCUGGCCUGUUGGGACCGAUCCUUGUAGUAGGUCAGCGCAGGAGUGACGCAGAAGGGUAGCCGGCCGCGGAGGUGGUCUUCCGUGGUCAAGCACGCAGGGCGUGGGACAGGCAAAUCCGUCCCGCAUGGGUCCGAGGUGCGAUGAUGGGGGCCUUAUGGCCCGAUAUCCGGUGAUCCCGGCUGCCGAGAAAAGCUUCGGCGUCAGGCUCGAAGCCGCCCGUACCCCAAACCGACACUGGUGGUCAGGUAGAGAAUACCAAAGCGAUCGAGCGAAUCCUGGUCAAGGAACUCGGCAAAUCACUCCCGUUCCUUCGGUUUAAGGGAGACCCCCGAUGGUGAACACACUUGCUGUGGGAGCUUUUGGGGGUGGCACAGACCAGGGGGUAGCGACUGUUUACCAAAAACACAGGUGCAUGCGAAGGCGCAAGCCGCUGUAUAUGCACUGACGCCUGCCCGGUGCCGGAAGGUUAAGAGGAUCCGUCAGUCCCUUCGGGGACGAAGCGGUGAAUUCAAGCCCCGGUAAACGGCGGUGGUAACUAUAACCAUCCUAAGGUAGCGAAAUUCCUUGUCGGGUAAGUUCCGACCUGCACGAAUGGCGUAACGACUUCCCCACUGUCUCGACCAGGAGCUCGGCGAAAUUGCAGUACGAGUAAAGAUGCUCGUUAAGCGCAGAAGGACGAAAAGACCCCGGGACCUUUACUAUACCUUGGUAUUGGCAUUCGGUGUGGAUUGUGUAGCAUAGGCGGGAGGCCGAGAGGCGCGGUCGCCAGAUCGCGCGGAGCCGUAAGGUGAAAUACCGCUCUGUUCGCAUUGGAUGUCUAACCUCGAACAGUCAUCCUGUUCAGGGACAGUGCCUGGCGGGUAGUUUAACUGGGGCGGUUGCCUCCCAAAGAGUAACGGAGGCGCCCAAAGGUCCGCUCAGCCCGGUUGGCAAUCGGGUGGCGAGUGCAAGUGCACAAGCGGGCUUGACUGCGAGGACGACGGUCCGAGCAGGGACGAAAGUCGGGACUAGUGAUCCGGUGCCGGUGUACGGACGCGGCAUCGCUCAACGGAUAAAAGGUACCCCGGGGAUAACAGGCUGAUCAUUCCCAAGAGUCCAUAUCGACGGGAUGGUUUGGCACCUCGAUGUCGGCUCGUCGCAUCCUGGGGCUGGAGCAGGUCCCAAGGGUUCGGCUGUUCGCCGAUUAAAGCGGCACGCGAGCUGGGUUCAGAACGUCGUGAGACAGUUUGGUCUCUAUCCUCUGCGCUCGUUGGAAUGCUGAGGAGGCCUGCCCAUAGUACGAGAGGACCUGGGUGGACGAACCUCUGGUAUGCCGGUUGUC
rnacentral:rRNA from 1 species